CGGGCAAGGGACGGCAGCGGCUGCCUGUUUUGGCUUCGGCGCAGCGCAGCCACCAUGCGCGUCAGGUGUCUCCAGCGGCCGCUGCUGCUCGGCUUCUUUGUCUGGCUGGCUGCACCCGCGUCCCCGCGGCGAGCAAAUUUCAGC